UGGGGAAUUUGGACAAUGGGCGAAAGCCUGAUCCAGCAAUGCCGCGUGUGUGAAGAAGGCCUUCGGGUUGUAAAGCACUUUUGUCCGGAAAGAAAUCCUUGGCUCUAAUACAGUCGGGGGAUGACGGUACCGGAAGAAUAAGCACCGGCUAACUACGUGCCAGCAGCCGCGGUAAUACGUAGGGUGCAAGCGUUAAUCGGAAUUACUGGGCGUAAAGCGUGCGCAGGCGGUUUGCUAAGGCCGAUGUGAAAUCCCCGGGCUCAACCUGGGAACUGCAUUGGUGACUGGCAGGCUAGAGUAUGGCAGAGGGGGGUAGAAUUCCACGUGUAGCAGUGAAAUGCGUAGAGAUGUGGAGGAAUACCGAUGGCGAAGGCAGCCCCCUGGGCCAAUACUGACGCUCAUGCACGAAAGCGUGGGGAGCAAACAGGAUUAGAUACCCUGGUAGUCCACGCCCUAAACGAUGUCAACUAGUUGUUGGGGAUUCAUUUCCUUAGUAACGUAGCUAACGCGUGAAGUUGACCGCCUGGGGAGUACGGUCGCAAGAUUAAAACUCAAAUGAAUUGACGGGGUCAUAGCUGUUUCCU
rnacentral:rRNA from 1 species